AUCCUGGCUCAGGAUGAACGCUAGCGGGAGGCUUAACACAUGCAAGCCGAGGGGUAUAGUUAGCUUGCUAACUAGAGACCGGCGCACGGGUGCGUAACGCGUAUGCAACUUGCCCUACUGAAAAGGAUAGCCCUUCGAAAGGAGGAUUAAUACUUUAUAAUAGAAAUCAUGGCAUCAUGAAUUUUUGAAAGAUUUAUCGCAGUAGGAUAGGCAUGCGUAAGAUUAGUUAGUUGGUGAGGUAACGGCUCACCAAGACGAUGAUCUUUAGGGGGCCUGAGAGGGUGAACCCCCACACUGGUACUGAGACACGGACCAGACUCCUACGGGAGGCAGCAGUGAGGAAUAUUGGACAAUGGGUGGAAGCCUGAUCCAGCCAUCCCGCGUGUAGGAUGACGGCCUUAUGGGUUGUAAACUACUUUUAUCUGGGGAUAAACCUACUGACGUGUUAGUAGCUGAAGGUACCAGAAGAAUAAGCACCGGCUAACUCCGUGCCAGCAGCCGCGGUAAUACGGAGGGUGCAAGCGUUAUCCGGAUUUAUUGGGUUUAAAGGGUCCGUAGGCGGAUUAAUCAGUCAGUGGUGAAAUCUCAUAGCUUAACUAUGAAACUGCCAUUGAUACUGUUAGUCUUGAGUGAUGUUGAAGUUGCUGGAAUGUGUAGUGUAGCGGUGAAAUGCUUAGAUAUUACGCAGAACACCAAUUGCGAAGGCAGGUGACUAAACAUCAACUGACGCUGAUGGACGAAAGCGUGGGGAGCGAACAGGAUUAGAUACCCUGGUAGUCCACGCCGUAAACGAUGGAUACUUGCUGUUGGGUUUUCGGACUCAGUGGCUAAGCGAAAGUUAUAAGUAUCCCACCUGGGGAGUACGUUCGCAAGAAUGAAACUCAAAGGAAU
rnacentral:rRNA from 1 species